AAAAAGGAAUAAGGGGAAAACAAAACAGA
rnacentral:piRNA from 1 species